rnacentral:rRNA from 2 species
CGUAUCACCCAAGACAACUUUACGGAGUUGACGAUUGACGGAGCGAAGCGACGUCAAAGCGUUCAUUAAAGUCGAGUUGGCUUAGGGAUACGUUCGUUGGGUAGGGGAGCGUUCUGUAAGCCUGCGAAGGUGGCCUGUGAGGGUUGCUGGAGGUAUCAGAAGUGCGAAUGCUGACAUAAGUAACGAUAAAGCGGGUGAAAAGCCCGCUCGCCGGAAGACCAAGGGUUCCUGUCCAACGUUAAUCGGGGCAGGGUGAGUCGACCCCUAAGGCGAGGCCGAAAGGCGUAGUCGAUGGGAAACGGGUUAAUAUUCCCGUACUUGGUGUUACUGCGAAGGGGGGACGGAGAAGGCUAUGUUGGCCGGGCGACGGUUGUCCCGGUUUAAGCGUGUAGGUGUGUGUUCCAGGUAAAUCCGGUU